UACGUAGGGCGCAAGCGUUGUCCGGAAUUACUGGGCGUAAAGGGCUCGUAGGCGGCCAACUAAGUCAGACGUGAAAUCCCCAGGCUCAACCUGGGAACUGCGUCUGAUACUGGAUGGCUUGAAUCCGGGAGAGGGAUGCAGAAUUCCAGGUGUAGCGGUGAAAUGCGUAGAUAUCUGGAGGAAUACCGGUGGCGAAGGCGGCAUCCUGGACCGGCAUUGACGCUGAGGAGCGAAAGCGUGGGGAGCGAACAGG
rnacentral:rRNA from 1 species